rnacentral:rRNA from 1 species
GGACGAACGCUGGCGGCGUGCUUACCACAUGCACGUCGAACGGAAAGGCCCUGCUUUUGUGGGGUGCUCGAGUGGCGAACGGGUGAGUAACACGUGAGUAACCUGCCCUUGACUUUGGGAUAACUUCAGGAAACUGGGGCUAAUACCGGAUAGGAGCUCCUGCUGCAUGGUGGGGGUUGGAAAGUUUCGGCGGUUGGGGAUGGACUCGCGGCUUAUCAGCUUGUUGGUGGGGUAGUGGCUUACCAAGGCUUUGACGGGUAGCCGGCCUGAGAGGGUGACCGGCCACAUUGGGACUGAGAUACGGCCCAGACUCCUACGGGAGGCAGCAGUGGGGAAUAUUGCACAAUGGGCGGAAGCCUGAUGCAGCAACGCCGCGUGCGGGAUGACGGCCUUCGGGUUGUAAACCGCUUUCGCCUGUGACGAAGCGUGAGUGACGGUAAUGGGUAAAGAAGCACCGGCUAACUACGUG